GAGCUCAGGCACAGGUCCGACAUCCCCAACUCUCCAGAAACGCUCCAAGAAGCUGUUUUCACGACACUCCAGCUGCACGCUUCCCAGGCACUUUGCUGAGAAGAGCUGAGGAGCGCAGCAACACCCCAGCACAGUGAGGAUCCAAAGGAAAGAGGGCGGAGCACAGCAAGGACGCGGCGCCAGACGCGGGGAGAACUGCCCGCAGCUUGCAAGCGCAACAAGGACUCGGGCGUUCGGAACCAGUAUGGGGCGCAACACAGCAAGACUCGGAACAGCACGAGCGGAUCCAGGAUGCGGUGCAGGGUCGCUCUGGAACGCGGUGCGCGCGCCCAGCGGGGACUGACGGUUAACAGUCGCGCAGGGGUGAGGCCAGGACAAGGUUGCCCGACUUCACUUGACAAGGACCACAGACAGGACUUGUGGAAAGGCGCUCCGAGCAGCAGCUGCGAUGACCAGGGGACACCCAGAACUCAGGGCCAUGGCCACCCAGCCUGCUCUGGCACUGCUGCUGCUACUCCUGCCGGCCCAGAUCCACUCGGAGCCAGAGGCAACCUCGCCCAUCCCGACCCCAACCCUGGGCAGCAACGUGUCAGCGAGCCGGUCCCUGCCCAGCAGCAACUUCCGUUCCUGCGGUCCGCGGCCCGUGCCAGGUUCACUCAUCCUGCUGGUCCAGCUGGCUGCCCUGGUCCCAGGGCCAGCCCUCCACUAGGACGUUCAGAGUUUGUCCAGCUCCCAGACUGGCAUGCCCUGCGUGGCGACAAGCCCGCAGGCCUGCUGCCUGCCCUCUGGAUGUGGGCUUGGAGCCCCACUGGCCGCUGCACUGCUGGGAUUCCAAGGAGACCCGGAGGCAAAGGGACCCCCUGCCGGCUGAGACAAGGGGCUUGGGCCCUGGGGUAUUCCCAAGUCUACCUGGAGGAGGAAAGAAGAUAUUUUUCCUUACUUUUGCUCAUUAAAAGCAUAAAGUCAA